rnacentral:rRNA from 1 species
AGAGUUUGAUCAUGGCUCAGGACGAACGCUGGCGGCGUGCCUAACACAUGCAAGUCGAGCGAGGACAUUCACCUAAUUGCUUCGGUAAGAAGGUGGAUAUCCUAGCGGCGGACGGGUGAGUAACGCGUGGGCAACCUGCCUUCAAGACCGGGAUACCGACUCGAAAGGGUUGUUAAUACCGGAUGUGCUGCAGAGGUCGCAUGAUCAUUGCAGUAAAGGGGAGACUCGCUUGAGGAGGGACCUGCGUUCCAUUAGCUAGUUGGUGGGGUAGAGGCCUACCAAGGCGACGAUGGAUAGCCGGCCUGAGAGGGUGAUCGGCCACACUGGGACUGAGAUACGGCCCAGACUCCUACGGGGGGCAGCAGUGGGGAAUCUUGCACAAUGGGCGAAAGCCUGAGACAGCGACGCCGCGUGAGCGAAGAAGGCCUUCGGGUUGUAAAGCUCUGUCAUGGGGGACGAAAUAAUAUGACGGUACCCCAAGAGGAAGCUCCGGCUAACUACGUGCCAGCAGCCGCGGUAAUACGUAGGGAGCAAGCGUUGUCCGGAAUUACUGGGCGUAAAGCGCGCGUAGGCGGCCUGUUAAGUCAGAUGUGAAAUACCACGGCUCAACCGUGGGGCUGCAUCUGAAACUAGCAGGCUUGAGAGCAGGAGAGGAGAGUGGAAUUCCUAGUGUAGCGGUGGAAUGCGUAGAUAUUAGGAGGAACACCAGUGGCGAAGGCGGCUCUCUGGACUGCUACUGACGCUGAGGUGCGAAAGCCAGGGGAGCGAACGGGAUUAGAUACCCCGGUAGUCCUGGCCGUAAACGAUGGGUACUAGGUGUAGGGGGUAUCGACCCCUCCUGUGCCGCAGUUAACGCAUUAAGUACCCCGCCUGGGAAGUACGUCCGCAAGGAUGAAACUCAAAGGAAUUGACGGGGCCCCGCACAAGCAGCGGAGCAUGUGGUUUAAUUCGAAGCUACGCGAAGAACCUUACCUGGGCUUGACAUCCCCUGAUGCGCCUGUGAAAGCAGGCUUCCCUUCGGGGCGGGGAGACAGGUGCUGCAUGGUUGUCGUCAGCUCGUGUCGUGAGAUGUUGGGUUAAGUCCCGCAACGAGCGCAACCCCUGUCCUUUGUUGCCAGCAUUAAGUUGGGGACUCAAAGGAGACUGCCGGAGACAAUUCGGAGGAAGGUGGGGAUGACGUCAAAUCAUCAUGGCCCUUAUGUCCAGGGCUACACACGUGCUACAAUGGUCGGCACAACGGGCUGCGAAGGCGCGAGCCGGAGCCAAUCCCUAAAAGCCGGCCCCAGUUCGGAUUGUAGGCUGCAACUCGCCUGCAUGAAGCCGGAGUUGCUAGUAAUCGCGAAUCAGCAAUGUCGCGGUGAAUGCGUUCCCGGGGCUUGUACACACCGCCCGUCACAUCAUGAGAGUUGGCAACACCCGAAGCCGGUGGCCUAACCGCAAGGAAGGAGCCGUCGAAGGUGGGGCUGAUGAUUGGGAUGAAGUCGUAACAAGGUA